UGCCUGGUUCAACUCUUGACUCCCUGAUAUGGAGUAACAGUCAAGUUGGCAUGAAGAUGGAAGAAACUGCACCUGAUGGCUGGCUACUUGGUGAUUCAGGAUAUGCAUGCAGACCUUGGAUGCUGACCCCCUUAGCAGAUCCUCAGACAAAGCCAGAACAGAGGUACAAUGCAGCCCAUAUCAGGACAAGGAACACAGUUGAAAGGGCAUUUGGAGUGUUAAAGUCAAGAUUCAGAUGUCUCCAUAAGUCUACUGGAUGUUUAUGGUUCAGUCCACAAAGAUGAGUGGCUGUAAUCAUGGCUGCUUUCAAGCUGCACAACGUCUGCAUAGACAAAAAUAUUGCACCACCGCCAGAGGACACUGACAUGGAAGUUGAUCAUGCUACUGGGGAAAACUGUCCUGCCUCUAGCCAGGAUGGAUGUUCAACAAGGAGGAAGCUGAUUGCAGAGAGAUUUACAUAGACUGUUCAGCCAUAGAGGUAGCCUCAUCACCAUUGAUGGUUCCAUACAUUGAUAUAGGACCUGCAAGGAAUUAAAGGACUUAAAGUUCUGUCAAUACACAUUAUCAGUCAGAGGUACUGGAGCUGGACAACCUCCGGCUUUGGAUGAUUCUUUUCUGACAUCCAUGCCUUUUCUUUUCACCUGAGAUCUGUAAAUUAAUCAUGUCAAAAUUAGUUAUUACCUGACAUAUCCAAUUCACAUUGUAAAUAAAAAGCUUAUUGUUAUGUUUUCAAAUACUA